rnacentral:rRNA from 1 species
AAUACAUCGGAACGUGCCCAAUCGUGGGGGAUAACGCAGCGAAAGCUGUGCUAAUACCGCAUACGAUCUACGGAUGAAAGCAGGGGAUCGCAAGACCUUGCGCGAAUGGAGCGGCCGAUGGCAGAUUAGGUAGUUGGUGAGGUAAAGGCUCACCAAGCCUUCGAUCUGUAGCUGGUCUGAGAGGACGACCAGCCACACUGGGACUGAGACACGGCCCAGACUCCUACGGGAGGCAGCAGUGGGGAAUUUUGGACAAUGGGCGAAAGCCUGAUCCAGCCAUGCCGCGUGCAGGAUGAAGGCCUUCGGGUUGUAAACUGCUUUUGUACGGAACGAAACGGCCUUUUCUAAUAAAGAGGGCUAAUGACGGUACCGUAAGAAUAAGCACCGGCUAACUACGUGCCAGCAGCCGCGGUAAUACGUAGGGUGCAAGCGUUAAUCGGAAUUACUGGGCGUAAAGCGUGCGCAGGCGGUAAUGUAAGACAGUUGUGAAAUCCCCGGGCUCAACCUGGGAACUGCAUCUGUGACUGCAUUGCUGGAGUACGGUAGAGGGGGAUGGAAUUCCGCGUGUAGCAGUGAAAUGCGUAGAUAUGCGGAGGAACACCGAUGGCGAAGGCAAUCCCCUGG